rnacentral:rRNA from 1 species
AACGAGCGCAACCCUUAUCCUUUGUUGCCAGCGGUCCGGCCGGGAACUCAAAGGAGACUGCCAGUGAUAAACUGGAGGAAGGUGGGGAUGACGUCAAGUCAUCAUGGCCCUUACGAGUAGGGCUACACACGUGCUACAAUGGCAUAUACAAAGAGAAGCGACCUCGCGAGAGCAAGCGGACCUCAUAAAGUAUGUCGUAGUCCGGAUUGGAGUCUGCAACUCGACUCCAUGAAGUCGGAAUCGCUAGUAAUCGUGGAUCAGAAUGCCACGGUGAAUACGUUCCCGGGCCUUGUACACACCGCCCGUCACAC